rnacentral:misc_RNA from 1 species
UACGGAGGGUGCAAGCGUUGUCCGGAUUUAUUGGGUUUAAAGGGUGCGUAGGCGGCCCGUUAAGUCAGCGGUGAAAUCCCAGGGCUCAACCCUGGAACUGCCGUUGAUACUGGCGGGAUUGUGUUAGGUCGAGGGGGGCGGGACUGGUGGUGUAGCGGUGAAAUGCAUAGAUACCACCAAGAACCCCGAUUGCGAAGGCAGCUCGCUGGGCCGAAACUGACGCUGAGGCACGAAAGCGUGGGGAGCGAACAGG